rnacentral:rRNA from 1 species
AGUGAACGCUGGCGGUAUGCCUAACACAUGCAAGUCGAACGGCAGCACAGGAAGAGCUUGCUCUUACGGGUGUCGAGUGUCGGACGGUUCAGUAAUACUUCGGAAUCUACUCUUUCGGGGGGGAUAAUGUAGGGAAACGUACGCUGAUACCGCAUUCGACGUACUGGUGUAAGCAGGCGUUCUUCUGACCUUUCGCGAGUGAAUGAGCCGAUGUCGGAUUAGCUAGUUGGCGGGGUUAAGGCACACCACGGCGACGAUGCGAAUCGGGUCUGAGAGCAUGGUCAGACACAUUGGAACUGAGAAACGGCCCAGACUCCGGCAGGAGGCCACAGUGGGGAAUCUUAGACAAUGGGCGAAAGCCUGAUCCAGCCAUACCGCGUGGGUGCAGAAGGACUUCGGGUUGGAAAGCCCUGAUGUUGGGAAAGAAAAGCAGCAGGUUAAUCCCCCGCUGUUCUGACGGUACCCAAAGAAUAAGCACCGGCUAACUUCGUG